AAGACAUUGAUCGAACAGAUCCUCUGCAAGGGCGGGAUCUUGUCCGAGAAUGUCUUGA
ensembl:miRNA